UACGUAGGGUGCAAGCGUUGUCCGGAAUUAUUGGGCGUAAAGAGCUCGUAGGCGGUCUGUCGCGUCUGCUGUGAAAACUCAGGGCUUAACCCUGAGCUUGCAGUGGGUACGGGCAGACUAGAGUGCGGUAGGGGAGACUGGAAUUCCUGGUGUAGCGGUGAAAUGCGCAGAUAUCUGGAGGAACACCGGUGGCGAAGGCGGCAUUCUGGACCGAUAUUGACGCUGAGGAGCGAAAGCCAGGGGAGCAAACGGG
rnacentral:rRNA from 1 species